rnacentral:rRNA from 1 species
GAUGAACGCUAGCGGCAGGCCUAACACAUGCAAGUCGAGGGGUAGAACACUUCGGUGUUUGAGACCGGCGCACGGGUGCGUAACGCGUAUGCAAUCUACCUUGUACAGGGGAAUAGCCCAGAGAAAUUUGGAUUAAUGCCCCAUAGUAUAUAACCUUCGCAUGUUGGUUAUAUUAAAUUUCCAACGGUCAAAGAUAAGCAUGCGUCCCAUUAGUUAGUUGGUAAGGUAACGGCUUACCAAGACGAUGAUGGGUAGGGGUCCUGAGAGGGAGAUCCCCCACACUGGUACUGAGACACGGACCAGACUCCUACGGGAGGCAGCAGUGAGGAAUAUUGGUCAAUGGGCGCAAGCCUGAACCAGCCAUGCCGCGUGCAGGAAGACGGUCCUAUGGAUUGUAAACUGCUUUUAUACAGGAAGAAACCCUCCCACGUGUGGGAGAUUGACGGUACUGUAGGAAUAAGGAUCGGCUAACUCCGUGCCAGCAGCCGCGGUAAUAC